rnacentral:rRNA from 2 species
GACGAACGCUGGCGGCGUGCUUAAUACAUGCAAGUCGAGCGAGGUUACUGGAGUGGAGCCCUUCGGGGUGAAGCUGCUUUAACCUAGCGGCGGACGGGUGAGUAACGCGUGGGUAACCUACCCCAAAGCCCGGGAUAACAGCGGGAAACCGCUGCUAAUACCGGAUGACUUUACCUUGGGGCAUCUUGAGGUAAAGAAAGGUUAACGCUUUGGGAUGGGCCCGCGUCCCAUUAGCUAGUUGGUGAGGUAACGGCUCACCAAGGCGACGAUGGGUAGCCGGCCUGAGAGGGUGGACGGCCACACUGGGACUGAGACACGGCCCAGACUCCUACGGGAGGCAGCAGUAGGGAAUAUUGCGCAAUGGACGGAAGUCUGACGCAGCGACGCCGCGUGAGCGAUGAAGGCCUUCGGGUCGUAAAGCUCUGUCCUUGGGGAAGAAGGUCUUCGGACUUGACGGUACCCAAGAAGAAAGCCCCGGCUAACUACGUG